CCUGGAACUCACCAUGUAGACCAGGCUGGCCUUUAAGUCACAGAGAUCUGCCUGCUUCUGCCUCCUGAGUGCUGGGAU
rnacentral:miRNA from 1 species